GUGUUUGCUUUGGCAGCACAUAUACUAAAAAUGGAAUGAUACAGAGAAGAUUAGCAUAGCCCUUGUGCAAGGAUGACGCACAAAUUAGUGAAGAAUUCUAUAUUUUA